UGGGGAAUAUUGGGCAAUGGGCGCAAGCCUGACCCAGCCAUGCCGCGUGAGUGAUGAAGGCCUUCGGGUCGUAAAGCUCUGUGGGGAGGGACGAAACCGGUGGCGGAUAAUACCCGCUGCUCUUGACGGUACCUCCUUAGCAAGCACCGGCUAACUCCGUGCCAGCAGCCGCGGUAAUACGGAGGGUGCAAACGUUGCUCGGAAUCAUUGGGCGUAAAGCGCACGUAGGCGGUCCGACAAGUCGGAUGUGAAAGCCCUCGGCUCAACUGAGGAAGUGCAUUCGAAACUGUCGAACUCGAGUAUGGAAGAGGAUCUCGGAAUUCCCGGUGUAGAGGUGAAAUUCGUAGAUAUCGGGAGGAACACCAGUGGCGAAGGCGGAGAUCUGGGCCAAUACUGACGCUGAGGUGCGAAAGCGUGGGGAGCAAACAGG
rnacentral:rRNA from 1 species